UGGGAACUUAGUAGAGGUUUAA
rnacentral:miRNA from 1 species